GUGUCAGCCGCCGCGGUAAGACGAACCGUGCGAACGUUAUUCGGAAUCACUGGGCUUAAAGGGCGCGUAGGCGGGCUCGUUAGUCAGGGGUGAAAGCCCACGGCCCAACCGUGGAAGUGCCUCUGAUACUGCGAGCCUCGAGGGGGAUAGGGGCGUGCGGAACUCAGGGUGGAGCGGUGAAAUGCGUAGAUAUCCUGAGGAACACCGGUGGCGAAAGCGGCGCGCUGGAUCCCUUCUGACGCUGAGGCGCGAAAGCCAGGGGAGCAAACGGGAUUAGAUACCCCUGUAGUCC
rnacentral:rRNA from 1 species